ACAGUGUUGAAAAUGAAGGUA
ensembl:piRNA 21ur-5389 ncRNA